rnacentral:rRNA from 1 species
AGCAGCCGCGGUAAUUCCAGCUCCAAUAGCGUAUAUUAAAGUUGUUGCAGUUAAAAAGCUCGUAGUUGAAUUUCGGGAUUGGCGCAUCGGUCGUGCCUCACGGGGUAUGAACUGGUGCAGUCAAUUUCUCACCUUCUGGAGAACCGCGAUGUCCUUAAUUGGAUGCCGCGGGGAACCAGGACCUUUACUUUGAAAAAAUUAGAGUGUUUAAAGCAGGCAUUUUUGCUUGAAUACAUUAGCAUGGAAUAAUAAAAUAGGACGGCAUGGUUCUAUUUUGUUGGUUUCUAGGACCACCGUAAUGAUUAAUAGGGAUAGUUGGGGGCAUUAGUAUUCAAUUGUCAGAGGUGAAAUUCUUGGAUUUAUUGAAGACUAACUACUGCGAAAGCAUUUGCCAAGGAUGUUUUCAUUAAUCAAGAACGAAAGUUAGGGAUCGAAGACGAUCAGAUACCG